UCGCGUCCAAGUGUAUCCGGUUUCUUAACCUUAUACAAACGAACUAAAUGAUGAACGGUAGUGAAUGCUUCUUCGAUAGUAAAUAGUUGAGGAUCUUUCGAUGGUAGUUUUUGAUUGCGAGCACGGUCAUAUCCUUGAUUGGGAGGGAAAAGUUUCCAAGCACCGUGAUAUGACAUCUUAUAUAAUAAAGACUCACGCAUAGUGGGAGUAGCCGCAUCGUCAGUUCGAUAUUCUCCAUUAGGAGUAAAAAAGUUACGCUCUACUAUUUCAUCGGGCCAUAAUCCCUGAGAAAUUCGGAUCAUCCAAAGGAACUUGUUCAUGUCGUCGCUGCUGUAUCCAAGAGUACCACCAUAUAUAAUAAGAAUAUAAUCAACAUCGUGUUUACGGAGGAUAGGGUAAGCUUUUUCUUCAGGUGAAGACAUGGCUUUUCCAACUGUGGCAAUAUGUGUGUUGUUCCACGUAUUGUUGUCGACUAAAGUAAUACGAUCAGCCAUACCAGCAAUUUGGUAACCAUAAUCCCACCAACUCAUAACCUUUGUGUCAUAAGGAGUGUUUCUACGAAGCCAGUCAUAAGCUUCACGGAAGUCAUCAAUAUACAUUAAACUACCAUCGUUUAACACGGUAGACAAAACCACGGUAGGGGAAGAGUAAGCAUUAGAAGUCACCCAACUGGAAUGAUAAACAAACAUUAUUAGGAAAUAUGCGGUAGAGGAAAUGACUAAUACUCUGGAAAGCAAACUGUAAAUUCCAAUAUUUUUUGAGCCAGAAGUGAAGAAACUAAGA